rnacentral:rRNA from 1 species
GACGAACCGAGCGAACGUUGUUCGGAAUCACUGGGCUUAAAGGGCGCGUAGGCGGGCGGCCGCGUCCGGGGUGAAAGCCCACGGCUCAACCGUGGAACGGCCCCGGGUACGGGCGGCCUCGAGGGGGGUAGGGGCCCGCGGAACGGUGGGUGGAGCGGUGAAAUGCGUAGAUAUCUGGAGGAACACCGGUGGCGAAGGCGGCAUCCUGGACCAAUACUGACGCUGAGGAGCGAAAGCCAGGGGAGCAAACGGG